AUACGAAGGGGGCUAGCGUUGUUCGGAAUCACUGGGCGUAAAGCGCGCGUAGGUGGAUCAAUUAGUUGAGGGUGAAAUCCCGGGGCUCAACCUCGGAACUGCCUUCAAUACUGUUGAUCUUGAGACCGAGAGAGGUGAGUGGAAUUCCUAGUGUAGAGGUGAAAUUCGUAGAUAUUAGGAAGAACACCAGUGGCGAAGGCGGCUCACUGGCUCGGUACUGACGCUGAGGUGCGAAAGCGUGGGGAGCAAACAGCAUUAGAAACCCUAGUAGUCC
rnacentral:rRNA from 1 species